rnacentral:lncRNA from 1 species
AUUCAGUCAAUUUGAUGGAUUACAAAUCUAUUGGAUUAUAUAUUCAACCUCAAAGAGAGUCAACAUAUACCAUAGUAGUGACCUCACAGAAUUUAUAAUUCAAUCCAACAUUUUUUUCACUAAAACAAAUAUGCCCUUAACACCAAAACCAUCAUAAGCUCACACACACAUACCUAUAAUAUGUGUAUAUUUUUAUACAAGGAAAGCAAAAACCUCAAGUGUAAAGUGGCAUAUUUGCCCUUUUGGCAUACAUUAAUGUCUUGAUAAUUCUGUCCCUAUCUCUCUACACCACUUCCCUUUGCCAUCUCUCUCUGGAUUCUAGUCACCUUCAAACUUCUUAAAUCUGCCUUUCUCUCUUUACAAAACUCAGACGAAUCACUACAUCUUUUUCUUGUUUCCCGCGUUCUCCGUCUAUUUAAAUUUUCUUCGUCAAGAAAUUCUGGCGAAAGAGACCAGCGAGUGAGCUCACAAACCUCAUGGUGGCUUCAAGAUAUCUGUCGUCCAUGUACACAGAGGAUGAUCAAAUCCAGAACAGGGAUCACAAUCACACCAUCUAGUAAUUCUUUAGGAUACGAAUAGGGGUUGUUCACGGUUGGAUUUGUUUGAUUUUGAGUAAUUCCACAAACUAAAUCGAAUUCUACAGCUCUUGAAAUUUUAAAAUCAAAUCAAUCCGUCCAAAACUUAGUACUAUUUAAUCCGAACCUAAAAAUAUCGGUUUGAUACCGGUUUCAAAUCACGAUUUUGGUAGGUAAAUUUUUUACUAUACAAUAAUCACAUUGCUUAAUAUAAUUCAUUGACUCCAUAUUCAAAACCUAGCAACCAAAUAAUAGAAUCUAUGGCAUAAACAUAUAAUUUAAUUUUCUCUAAAAUAGAAUAUUUAAUAUAGUUAGACAAUUAUCAAGACUAUAUAAAGCAACAAUAUAAUUUAAGAUGAAAAAUAUAAGUAUAAAAUUAUAAGAAAAAUAUUUUAUCCGAUCCGGUUCGGUUUAGAAUCGGAAUCGUCACUAAUCUGUAAAUUGAACCGAUCAAAACAAUUUUUAGAAUUUUAAAAUCGGAAUCGAACCGGCUAUAUAAAAAACUGUUCCAAACCGAACGAUUCGGACUGAUUACCGGUUUGUUCUUUUGGUCAAACUUAGAUACAAACCCAUGAGAGCAGUGAGAGGGAACAACGCCUCUUUUUUCUUCGAUAUUUGAAUUUGAUUCCUCGAGAUCAAUUCUUUUUCGUAGUUGAGAGCAUUGAGAUCUGGUCGUUAACUCCCCUUCACAACUCGGAGCCUGAUCUCUCUCUUCUCAAAUUAAUUAUAAAAUUACCUCUGUAUAGCAAUGCAACUCUCAACAAGGUUUCUGAGAUUAAAACAAUUACAGAGAGGGAGAAGAUUAAAGGAUGCUAAGGGUUUGUGUGAUAUGGGUUUCUCGAGGGAGGGAUCUAGAUUGAAGAGGGGGAGAAGCGAGGGAGACGAUGGGUGCGAGGGACAAUUAUUUCAAAUGUCAGGCAAGGGGAAUAUGUGGAAUAAAAACAUACGAUUGUUAACUGUGCGUGUACGCAACAUUCU